rnacentral:tRNA from 1 species
UGGCGGGCCUGGGCUGACUUCGGUAUCGCGGCCGGCUCCUGGCUGCCCGCGGUGCUGUGGGGGGUGGCGUUCGCGGUGCUGGUCCGCGGGCUGCCGG